UUGUCUCAAAGAUUAAGCCAUGCAUGUCUCAGUACAAGCCUAAUUAAGGUGAAACCGCGAAAGGCUCAUUAAAUCAGUUAUGGUUCCUUAGAUCGUACCCACAAUUACUUGGAUAACUGUGGUAAUUCUAGAGCUAAUACAUGCAAACAGAGCUCCGACCGGAGACGGAAGGAGUGCUUUUAUUAGAUCAAAACCAAUCGGUGGCGGGUUCGCGCUCGUCAUCGUACAACUUGGUGACUCUGAAUAACUUUACGCUGAUCGCACGGUCUCGCACCGGCGACGCAUCUUUCAAAUGUCUGCCUUAUCAACUGUCGAUGGUAGGUUCUGCGCCUACCAUGGUUGUAACGGGUAACGGGGAAUCAGGGUUCGAUUCCGGAGAGGGAGCCUGAGAAACGGCUACCACAUCCAAGGAAGGCAGCAGGCGCGCAAAUUACCCACUCCCGGCACGGGGAGGUAGUGACGAAAAAUAACGAUACGGGACUCAUCCGAGGCCCCGUAAUCGGAAUGAGUACACUCUAAACCCUUUAACGAGGAUCAAUUGGAGGGCAAGUCUGGUGCCAGCAGCCGCGGUAAUUCCAGCUCCAAUAGCGUAUAUUAAAGUUGUUGCGGUUAAAAAGCUCGUAGUCGAAUUUGUGUCUCGUGCCGCCGGUUCAUCGUCCGCGGUGUUAACUGGCGUGUCGCGAGACGUCCUGCCGGUGGGCUCGGGCGCGUCGGCGCUGCGCGCGUCACCUAAACAACAUCACGUUGUCGGAGGCGUGUUCGCUUGUCGUCGUCGUCGUCGCGGGGCCCAACUCAAUCCCGCCGCGGUGCUCUUCAUUGAGUGUCGAGGUGGGCCGGCACGUUUACUUUGAACAAAUUAGAGUGCUUAAAGCAGGCUAAAAUUUCGCCUGAAUACUGUGUGCAUGGAAUAAUGGAAUAGGACCUCGGUUCUAUUUUGUUGGUUUUCGGAACCCGAGGUAAUGAUUAAUAGGAACGGAUGGGGGCAUUCGUAUUGCGACGUUAGAGGUGAAAUUCUUGGAUCGUCGCAAGACGAACAGAAGCGAAAGCAUUUGCCAAAAACGCUUUCAUUGAUCAAGAACGAAAGUUAGAGGUUUGAAGGCGAUCAGAUACCGCCCUAAUUCUAACCGUAAACGAUGCCAGCUGGCCAUCCGUCGACGUUCCUCCGAUGACUCGACGGGCAGCUUCCGGGAAACCAAAGCUUUUGGGUUCCGGGGGAAGUAUGGUUGCAAAGCUGAAACUUAAAGGAAUUGACGGAAGGGCACCACCAGGAGUGGAGCCUGCGGCUUAAUUUGACUCAACACGGGAAACCUCACCAGGCCCGGACACCGGAAGGAUUGACAGAUUGAGAGCUCUUUCUUGAUUCGGUGGGUGGUGGUGCAUGGCCGUUCUUAGUUGGUGGAGCGAUUUGUCUGGUUAAUUCCGAUAACGAACGAGACUCUAGCCUGCUAACUAGGCGCAUUUUGACAUCGCAAAGGCCCGCCGUGGUUCCGCGCCGCCGGCGGGGGGUUUCGACUCUUCGUCGUGCGCGCGCGUUCCUCGCGCGCGGUUUUUACUGUCGGCGUACAAACAAUUCUUCUUAGAGGGACAGGCGGCAUUUAGCCGCACGAGAUUGAGCAAUAACAGGUCUGUGAUGCCCUUAGAUGUUCUGGGCCGCACGCGCGCUACACUGAAGGAAUCAGCGUGUCCUCCCUGGCCGAGCGGCCCGGGUAACCCGCUGAACCUCCUUCGUGCUAGGGAUUGGGGCUUGCAAUUGUUCCCCAUGAACGAGGAAUUCCCAGUAAGCGCGAGUCAUAAGCUCGCGUUGAUUACGUCCCUGCCCUUUGUACACACCGCCCGUCGCUACUACCGAUUGAAUGAUUUAGUGAGGUCUUCGGAUCGACACGCGAUGGCGUUUCGGCGUCGUCGAUGUGUAAGAGAAGAUGUCCAAACUUGAUCAUUU
rnacentral:rRNA from 1 species